UGAGGAAUAUUCGGCAAUGGGGGCAACCCUGACCGAGCAACGCCGCGUGGAGGAUGACGGUUUUCGGAUUGUAAACUCCUUUUCUCAGGGAAGAGCGAGGACGGUACCUGGGGAAUAAGUCACGGCUAACUACGUGCCAGCAGCCGCGGUAAUACGUAGGUGGCAAGCGUUAUCCGGAAUUACUGGGCGUAAAGCGCACGCAGGUGGCUGCUUAAGUCUGACGUGAAAGCUCCUGGCUUAACUGGGAGAGGUCGUUGGAGACUGGGCGGCUUGAGGCGAGGAGAGGGGUGUAGAAUUCCCGGUGUAGUGGUGGAAUGCGUAGAUAUCGGGAGGAAUACCAGUGGCGAAAGCGGCACCCUGGCCUUGGCCUGACGCUCAGGUGCGAAAGCGUGGGGAGCGAACG
rnacentral:rRNA from 1 species